AUUGAACGCUGGCGGCAGGCUUAACACAUGCAAGUCGAGCGGUAACAGAGAGAAGCUUGCUUCUCUGCUGACGAGCGGCGGACGGGUGAGUAAUGCCUAGGAAUCUGCCUAGUAGUGGGGGAUAACUUGCCGAAAGGUAAGCUAAUACCGCAUACGUCCUACGGGAGAAAGGAGGGGACCUUCGGGCCUUUCGCUAUUAGAUGAGCCUAGGUCGGAUUAGUUAGUUGGUGAGGUAAUGGCUCACCAAGACCGCGAUCCGUAACUGGUCUGGGAGGAUGAUCAGUCACACUGGAACGGAGACACGGUCCAGACUCCUAGGGGAGGCAGCAGUGGGGAAUAUUGGACAAUGGGGGAACCCUGAUCCAGCCAUGCCGCGUGUGUGAAGAAGGUCUUAGGAUUGUAAAGCACUUUAAGUUGGGAGGAAGAGCAGUUAACUAAUAUUUGACUGUUUUGACGUUACCGACAGAAUAAGCACCGGCUAACUUCGUG
rnacentral:rRNA from 1 species